AAUCAAUUGUGUAACAAUAUAUUAUCUACUACCAACUACUAAUUCAUCAAUUCCCUUUUCUACUUUAAAGCAACCCUGCUAAUUCAUCAAUGUAAUUCUCAAUCUUGAGUAAUGAUCACGUCAAAAUAGAAUAGGCAAAUUUCCAUUAGUAAAAAUGCUUCAUCAAUUAUUCCAACUGAAUUACACGCUAAAACAUUAUCUUUCAACUUUCAAGAUUUGGAAUUAAAUUCACUAUAAACAGCUUAUAAAUAGCAUAAUAGUCUAUAAAAAUUCUCCACGGUUAUAUAAAAUAAAUCCCUACGUCUCAAAUCAGUCACAAAAACACACAACUAUAAAUUAAUUUCAAUGGGUGCUCCACAAUACAUAAUGAACAGAAAAGACACUCUAAGCACAUCAAAUCCAUCCCAUCCUAAAUACACAAAAUUUCCAGACAUUUUUAUACUUAAAGAAAAAUUAAUAGAAUAAAAGAGAGAGACCCUUUUCUCGCCAAGGAAGU
rnacentral:misc_RNA from 1 species